rnacentral:rRNA from 1 species
GUGGGGAAUAUUGGACAAUGGGCGAAAGCCUGAUCCAGCCAUGCCGCGUGUGUGAAGAAGGUCUUCGGAUUGUAAAGCACUUUAAGUUGGGAGGAAGGGCAGUAAGUUAAUACCUUGCUGUUUUGACGUUACCAACAGAAUAAGCACCGGCUAACUUCGUGCCAGCAGCCGCGGUAAUACGAAGGGUGCAAGCGUUAAUCGGAAUUACUGGGCGUAAAGCGCGCGUAGGUGGUUCAGCAAGUUGAAGGUGAAAUCCCCGGGCUCAACCUGGGAACUGCCUCCAAAACUGCAUGACUAGAGUACGGUAGAGGGUAGUGGAAUUUCCUGUGUAGCGGUGAAAUGCGUAGAUAUAGGAAGGAACACCAGUGGCGAAGGCUACUACCUGGACUGAUACUGACACUGAGGUGCGAAAGCGUGGGGAGCAAACAGGAUUAGAUACCCGGGUAGUCC